UUUAAUUACUUUUCAAAAAGGCAACGACCUACAAGCCAAUGGGAAGUUGCGAUAUUUCUCUCCCUUAACCAAUGAGCGAGCAGGUUCUAGGACAUUGGUAGGAUGACAGGAGCGAACCGGUCUUCUCUCUCUUUUACUUCCUCAUCGCGAGUUAGUGAAGACGCAGCUUCUUUGGUUUGUCUGACAGUUACAAACAUACUGCGGGAAAAAAAAAAAUCAAAAAACCCCGGAUUCAACUACAGUCUUUGUGCGUCAUUGGAAUUUUUUUGCUGCGUCAUCGCCACAAUCGGCCGUUAGGAGGGCAGCUCGUGACAGCGCGGUUUGACCAACCGUUAACUGCGUGCCGCCAUCACCUUGUUCUGGAAGGCAGUGUGUGGCAGCGCAGGUUGGCUAACAACCGUUAGCUACGUGCCCUCAUCACCUUGUUCUGGCCGGGUCUUUUAUGCGGGAGUCGCCUUUCAUUGAGGACAUCGAGGGAGAUCGCUUGUGAAGCAUAUAUUUUUCCUUUUAUUUUUCCGCUCUCGACCUGUCGAGCCACAGGAGUGGUUGUCGAAGGAGAGACCGGUGGCGAGCUAACCUAAUUUUCGAACCUGAACUGGACACUUUUUUUUGUUUCAGCUGGGAAUCUGGUAGGAACUUUCCAUAAUACUCAACAGUGAUUUACAUGUGAGCUCACAUAGCGUUUUGGGACUGGAAUAAGACGUUGAAGGGAAAACACUAAGUGCACUUAGUAAAGUUAGGGUGUGUAAAGUAAGUUUUUGGGAUAAAUUGAGCAUUUGUUUCAUGCAUUUAACUUUUCUUUUCAAUGUACAUAUUGUAAAUAGUUUAAUAUUUUUGUUUUAUAUUACACACAAAAAACCCCACAAUUAUCUGUGUCUUGAGUUUUAUUUGCUUCUGCCGGGUGCACGCUGUCUCCUGUGAGUCGAGUCUAGCUUCUGAUGCACUGGUCCAAUAAAUAAACACAUUAUAAUCAGACA